CCCUUUUCCCAAACAUACAAUUACACAAUCAUUCUCAAAUGUCAAACUCAACUCACAUCUCUCACCAAAAGAUCCUAAGAACAUUAACUCCUUCUCUUUGAAAUCUACAAGAGAUUUUUCACAACCUCAAAACAUUACUUAGCUCCUAACAACUUUGCUAGCCCCCUCUUUCUUUCUUUUUCUUUUCUUUUCAUAUUUUAUUUCUUUUUCUUUUUUUUUUUAAAUGGGGGCCAAGACUUUUCAUAACUUGAGGUAGAGGUUUUUCUACUUAUCCCAGUAAGACAAUUCACUUA
rnacentral:lncRNA from 1 species